GGAGUUUUCUACUGUGAGCCUAGGAUAUGGGAAAAAGAAAGUUUAGAAGAAAAUAUAGUUAAAAAAAAGACUUAUAGAAUGCAGAAUCGUAUGGUCUCCAAAAGAAUAUUGUUGUUUAAUGUUACAUUUAAUCUGGUCUGGUUGCUCCCUAAACAGCAGCGCCUGACAUUGAACAUCAUAUGCUAGUUGCUACCCUACCAGUGCUG